rnacentral:rRNA from 1 species
AAUCUUCCGCAAUGGACGAAAGCCUGACGGAGCAACGCCGCGUGAGUGAUGAAGGUUUUCGGAUCGUAAAACUCUGUUGUUAGGGAAGAACAAGUACCGUUCGAACAGGUCGGUGCCUUGACGGUACCUAACCAGAAAGCCACGGCUAACUACGUCCCAGCAGCCGCGGUAAUACGUAGGUGGCAAGCGUUGUCCGGAAUUAUUGGGCGUAAAGCGCGCGCAGGCGGUUUCUUAAGUCUGAUGUGAAAGCCCCCGGCUCAACCGGGGAGGGUCAUUGGAAACUGGGGAACUUGAGUGCAGAAGAGGAGAGUGGAAUUCCACGUGUAGCGGUGAAAUGUGUAGAGAUGUGGAGGAACACCAGUGGCGAAGGCGACUCUCUGGUCUGUAACUGACGCUGAGGCGCGAAAGCGUGGGGAGCGAACAGG